rnacentral:rRNA from 1 species
UACGUAGGGUGCGAGCGUUGUCCGGAAUUACUGGGCGUAAAGAGCUCGUAGGUGGUUUGUCGCGUUGUCCGUGAAAACUCACAACUCAAUUGUGGGCGUGCGGGCGAUACGGGCAGACUGGAGUACUGCAGGGGAGACUGGAAUUCCUGGUGUAGCGGUGGAAUGCGCAGAUAUCAGGAGGAACACCGGUGGCGAAGGCGGGUCUCCUGGGCCGAUGACUGACGCUGAGGAGCGAAAGCGUGGGGAGCGAACAGG